rnacentral:rRNA from 1 species
GGCGAACGCUGGCGGCGUGCUUAACACAUGCAAGUCGAACGAUGAAGCCGGAGCUUGCUCUGGUGAAUUAGUGGCGAACGGGUGAGUAACACGUGAGUAACCUGCCCUUGACUCUGGGAUAACUGCUAGAAAUGGUAGCUAAUACCGGAUACGACCCUCGGAGGCAUCUUCAGGGGGUGGAAAGAAUUUCGGUCAAGGAUGGACUCGCGGCCUAUCAGCUAGUUGGUGAGGUAAUGGCUCACCAAGGCGACGACGGGUAGCCGGCCUGAGAGGGUGACCGGCCACACUGGGACUGAGACACGGCCCAGACUCCUACGGGAGGCAGCAGUGGGGAAUAUUGCACAAUGGGCGCAAGCCUGAUGCAGCAACGCCGCGUGAGGGAUGACGGCCUUCGGGUUGUAAACCUCUUUCAGUAGGGACGAAGCGCAAGUGACGGUACCUACAGAAGAAGGACCGGCCAACUACGUGCCAGCAGCCGCGGUAA